GCAAAUGCCUUUCUGAGGGUCUGGAUAAAAACGUGGGGAAAACUUCUCAGGUUUAAUUUUGCAAACUUUAUCUUCUUUCGAAAGGUUGUGUAAUGGGGAAAAGAUUUCUUAUUUCAUGUGUUCUAUCUAACAUUUCUGAUCAUUUCAAAUGCUAGGGAUCUAAUUUUCUGGUUACUAGCCCAUUUUUAGAAGAAUCUCUAAAGACUGUUGCUAUUGAUUCUUCCUCUGACAAAAUGUCAGAAGCUGCAGUGAAAUUGUUUCCAUCGGUCCGAGAAUACCUGUUACCAAACCAGUAAUCAUGUAGUGUGUUGUCAAAGACUGUCCCAGUUCAGGUUCAGGCAAACUGCUCUGAAAAGCUGUAGUGUAUCAGUAUAUUUUUGUUAAUCAUUUGGAAAAAUGGAGAGAUUUUUUUAAUAUAUCUGAUUGCACUUCUAUAAAUGGAUGAGUAAGUGGAACUGAGCUUUCCUGGUUUCCUUUCAGCUGGCUUCUGAUUGCUUUGUGAACUUAACUUUUUUUUUUUAACUAGGUUUCAAUAAAGAAGUGGAUGUAAGCAUUCAAACUAAAUGAUGUUUGCCUAGAGUGCUGUAAACUGACUCAAGUUAGUAAUGCUUUUAAUAUUUUCAAAAUCCUGGUCUAUUAAGAGACACUUGGUAACAUGGGUGAGUCUUCAGACUUGCUACUGCACUUCAAGGUCAUGAUCAUUCACUUUUGCAGGAGUAUCACUACGACCGCACACUUGUUAACACCUAUUCUUCUGUUUCUGCUCAGGAUAUCUAUUUUAUAUAGUAGCUCUUAGUUUUAUUUCACGUUGGGCCUACCAACAGUCUUGCCUUCGGAAUUACACCACGCAGAUAUUUCAUUUCUCUGGGAUGAGGCAUAGAAGACUUAAGUUGAAGGAAACAAUGCCUCUUAUGCUCCUCUGAGCAUUGUCUGAUGAUUAUACCGUUGCGUUAGCGAUCCUGCAGUUGACAUUCUCAGCCUUUAUAUUCAAUAGGUUAUAACAUUAAAUCAUCUUCUUACCUCAUUCCUACCUUAGACGAAAUUGUGCUUGGAGCAUUUGGUGGGGGUAGAAUUAUACAGUGCAGCUGUUACGUGUCAGUUGUGCUUUUAUGCUACAGAACUUUUUUAUUCCAGUUCAAAUGAUGUGGGCAAUUUUUAGGAGUGCUUGGCUGGGAAAUUUGAAAAUAUUUGGUACAUGCUUGUACCAGCUUGAAAAUGGACUCAUUAUUUCUAAUGCAGACACUUCACAGUGUCAAUGUAAGGCUAACUGCUUGCUUCAAACCCAACUGAACCAAUUAUCUAGAGCAGGAAAGUUGGAAUGCUGCGUGUUUCCUAUGGAGAGAGAUGCUGUCCGGGCAGCUUUCCAAACAGUCAUGCGAAGCCUAAGAGAGGGAUUUAAUGUGCAGGAUGAAUUCUGUGUUAGGAAAAAGCUGUAAAACUGUUUCAAUGUACUCAGGCUGUGCAAAUGACCUCACAUUUCCAAGUUGGAAGACAGUGUGCUGUGCUGAGCACAGUCUUUAGCAGACUGAGAGGAAGGAUUUCAGCGAGUAGGGGCGGGUGACAGAUUGGGGUUUGUAUAUAUAAUUUGUAAGGCACUGUGAUCUUGGCUUUGAAUAGUCAGCUGUAAUGAUACUACUACCUUCUCAUUUUUUCUUUCAAGAAAACUGUAUGAAAAAACAGUGGUGGUAAAAUUUAAAACAAUUGUAAGUUCUUCAUUUAAUAGCAGAUAAGAGGUUUAUAGGAACGGGUAAUAUUGUUAAUUAGAUCAGCGUAAAAAUGCUUGUCUGCUUUUUCUAACCUUAGUCAUGCAAUCCUCUCAUCAGCUUUUCUAAAUCUUCAUCCGCUUUAAUAACAAGCUAAGUUAUGCUCCUCUGAGGCUUCUGGAGUUUCCUUGACUGUAUAUGAAGUAUACAGUUAAGUGAGAACACAGAUUAUUUAAUUCAGUAAUUCUCUUAAGACUCAUAAUUUAUGCACGUUAGGUGAAGCUUGCAUCUCAUUUUACAAAAAUUUUACAAUUUUUUGAACUGAACCCUGAUACCAGUCCUAUGUUAUCUGGGAUAGGGGAUUAAGUUCUUGUCUUCGUGUUGCUGAGAGCUCUACCCAGGUGUUACCGUGUGCAGAUCUGCAGUCAGCUCUGUAAACUCAGCCUUAGCUGAGGGUAAAGUCAGUUUGUCAGAACGGUGUUUUUACAUUUCCUGACAGAGCACUGUAAUACUAACAAAGCCAAAACCUGUCAUGUUCUGAUCAAAACCCCCCCACAUGCACAGUAUAAUCUUGCUUUGACCAUUUAUCUUCAUUGUUGUUUCCAUUCAUUAAAUCUACCCAAUGCUUUUUAUGAGCCUUAAUGCUGAACCAGUGUGCACCUCUGUGAAUGUUCUUGUCUUCCUCUAUAAAACACAGCUCUCUGAGCUUUGCUUUUCCCUGCUUCUCUUUAUCACUGAUUAUAUCCAUUACUACUCCUAAGCUGCUUAUUCCUAGUUGGGUUUUUUUCUGAUUAUUUUCUAGUGCAUUGAAAAUGUGUUCUGCUGUGCCAUUUUUACUUUGAUUGGCCUAGAAGGCAGAAAAUACUACUUAAAGUAAGUAAUACUCUGAAAGGUUAGGAAGUAAUUCCUUCUGUAGGAGCUCCAUCUCUGAAAGCUUGUUCCUCCUUUGUGUAUUAUGAAAUUUGAAAUGUGUUGUCUCGUAAAUGAGAAAUAGAUAUAUGAUAAUAAUAACAAAAAUAUAUAGUAUAACAGUUAAUAUUCCAGGACUGCAAAUAGCUUAUGAAACCGAUUUUCUUUGAAAGAUGCAAUCUAGCCUAUUGUCCUGAUUUCAGCUGGAACGGAGUUAGUUUUCUCUAUAAUGUCUGCUAAGAUGCUGUGUUCUGUUUAGGAAAAAAACACUGUUGAUCCCACACCCAACACAUGUUGCAGUUGUUGCUGAGCAAUGCUGCACAAAGCCAGGGAUGUUUCAGCUUUUCAGCUUCUCUUACUGCCCUGGCAGUGAGGGCCUGGGGGGCUAGGAACCCUGAGGGGACAGAACCAGCACAGAUGACCUAAACUGGCCAAAGGGCUGUUCUGCAUGAUGCCACACAGUUAUGGAACUAUAACACUAGGGGAGUUGGCUGGGGACUGCCACAGCUUAGGGACUGGCUGAGCAUUGGUUGGCAGGUGGUGAGCAAUGGCAUUUCACAUCAACUUUGCUUUUCUGUCUUAGUAAAUUGUCUUCAUCGCAACCCAUGAGGCUUUUUCUCCUGAUUCUCUUUACCUUCCUGCUUGGAGGAGGGGUGAGCGGAUGGCUGUGUGGUGCUGAGCUGACUGCCAAGUUAGACCGUAGCAGGCUUUUUCGGUGCCCAGGACUUGAAAGGGUUAUAAUGAUAUGAUGAUGGAGCUGACCAGAGCAUGUUAAAAUUGUUACAAGCUUUAUAGUAGCAUAGUAGUUGCUGGUCACAGUAUUGAUUCUUUCACUCUCAGUGUGGUUUUAUUUGCUUUCAUAGUUAAUUUUCUUAGUUCCUUUCUUGUUUAUCAAUACUGGGAGCUGGCCUAAGGUUACACGUGCUUUUGGCAUUUUGUAGAUAGUGCACACUCAUAUUACAUUGACCAUGAACUUAAUGUGGUAUUUGUACUCAGUACUGCCAUCGUUCUAGCAAUUAGGGAACCUUACUGUGAGGACUAUUAACAAGCUCUUUACUACAGGCAAGUUAAAAUAGGCUUUGAAAUUUUUGAAUACAGCUGGGAUGUUCAAACUGGCACAAUCCUAUUGCUGUAUCUUCUUUGUGUUUCUGGUUUUAUCUGUGGUUAAACAACCGUUGCAAAACACCAGCCAGAGAUGUGCCCUGAGGCAGGAUGGCUGUGGGUGGCAAGGUGUGUGGGAGGAGAUGGGCAGGUAUUAAUCGCCAUCUCUGAAUGGUUUGGAAUUCACCCCUUAUCAAGUGCAGAAUCCUAAAAAGCUGACAGAAUGUUUCAAAAAGCUGUGCCCUGAUCCUGGCAAUAUGAAAGAGUUAGAGCUCGCUGUGCUGUGCUGGUGCCUGGCCUGUGCCUAUCAAACACUGUUCACCAUUAUUCUGUACCCUCAAAAAGAAGAAAAUGCUUCUGGGUCUAUCCCAGCCCCUGCAGCAGGUCCUGUGGCUGAACCAGAGAGGCAACAGGAAGCAGAAACUGCCCAUCCCCAUCUUGCCCUUUCUUCCUCCGAAAAUUUAAAAUGCCUUCAAAAGGUCGUCUUUGAAUGGCAUCUUCAAUUUAAUAAAAGCACAGCAUCUUUAAAUGCUCAAAUCAAUAAGCUUCAUAGGAUUUUAAAAUAAAAGAAAGUAAUGCAGAAACAAGUCAUGUCAAAGGGAAAGAAACAGCACGUGAACAGAACAGUGAAUUAGUGGUUGAAAUGGUGAUCUGCCAAGAAGCACAGUUACUGCAGUCCAACAUUCUUGCAUUUCUUGAUGUUUUAUUGCCUGAACUUUUUCUAGGUAGUCCGGUCUGUUCUUAGGAAGACCUUCUGCUACAGAUAAGAAGUGCAUUGUAUUGGGAAUGCAGGACUGGAUUGAAGUGUUCUCUUAAAUCUGUAUUGACAAAGGAGAGGUAUUUGAAUAUGCUAACUGUGACCAUUAGUAUAAAUGGUCAUCUGCAGAAUUGCAGUGCGCAUGAAACUUUCCUUUAUGGUCUGCAGCUGAGACCUUUGAUUGUGAGCAGUUGGAGCCCUAACAGAGUCUUCACGUAGUUCAAGAACUAUCUCAUUUCAGAAUAACCCUCCAUUUAUGCUUCAAAACCCUCUGUAUUUGGUGUGAAUGGCAUUUGAGUAAUAAAUAUGGAUUCCUGUAGCAGUUUGAUGAUUUAAAUGUUUUUUUACUUCUUAAAAAUUCAAGAUUCUCUGAAAUAGCCUGCGACAAAAGCACGGCAAUGUGUUACAUUCAGUUAAACUGCAGAUGCUCUGAAGAAAAGCUAAUUAAAAGCCAGAGGUUUUGUAUUCGUUGGUUUCUCUCAAUGCCAACUGCAGCAGUUGCUUUGAAGUGUAAAUAUGGUCUGAAUGUAGUCAUCCCCGAAAGAGAUGGAAAAAUUAUCAGUGAAAAAUGAUCAGUUCUGAAUUAGUGGAGGCUGCAUAAACUUGCUGGGUUCUUCACGACCAGGGUCACGAUCACAUAAUUAUGAUAAUAGCUCUUUGUCCUUUAGAUAAAUGAGAAGUGUCUACUCUUAUCUCUGCCACAACUGCGGUGAAACUUCACAGAGGAUAUGGCGUGAUUAGGCUCAGCCUGUAAUUCUUUCCCUUUUUUGUUCCAUUGCCUUUUAAGCCACCUGAAUAAAGAACCUACAAAACCGUGUGGAGAGCACAAAAAGUAUGUGGGUAUAUUAUUGACAAACCUGCCUCUCACAAUUUUGAAGUUAGGUUGUCUUUUAAAGCAAAACCCAAAAAGCCUUGUGUCUAAAUGGUACACCCUUCCACUGUGUAAAAUCACAUUCUGAUUUCAGCCUAUUUUCACCCUUCUUGUGACCAUCUGCUAAGGAAACCAGCGGCGUGGUUUUCCAACACUUAAUAAGGUGAAAGAGCUGUUUGCAAUCUUCCUGGUGUACGCAGGUCUACAGUAUUCCAUCUGCCCACCUGCAGACACAACAAAACAGGGCACUGGUUGUUUCUUUUAUGUUCCUGUUUGGAAACUGUAGCGUGCAGCCAUGCUGUCCUCAGCCAGUGGAGUUGUAUUGCUUGUGAGCUUAUGAUGCACCGUUCAUCUUCAAUGGCUAAUUCAAUAAAUUCCUAUUUGUUUUGCUUAGAGAUCACUAAUAAGAUUUUUAGGUCUGAGUGGCAGUUGCUAAUGUGAUCGAUUUAUUCAACAGCAGAGCGUGGCUUUAAUAUUGCUAUCAUAUAGCAAAUCAAAUUUCUUUUUGGAAGAAUUACGGCAUCAUGCUGUCCAAGGUGAGCAUGAGAAAGACCUAAGCAUGUCAUCACCAUUCUACUUUUUUAACAAAAAGCACAUGGUAAUAAUGGAUAAGCCUGCAGAGUCUCUUGUCCUUGGUUUGUAAGUGACUUUUAAGCCUAGGUAGAGGAGAGUAUACUGAAUGUGAAGUGUACUGAUGAAGGGCUAGCAGAUAGGCCAGUGUGCUUUUUGUGUUUGCAUAAAUUUCAUCUCUGUUAGCAAAUGAGGAGAUAGCUGAUGGUAUGGUGAGGAAUGGGGAAGCUCUAGAAAAGCCCAAACAUGUUCUGAAUAUUCUAUUGGCACAAAAAAUGAGCGUUGGUUGAAAUGAAGGUUAAAGAGUUGUAAUUAAAAUGGCACCAUGAGGAAUACACUGUUUUUUUUCAGGUUUUUUGUUUUUUAAUAUGGAAUGGCUUAUUUCAAUUCGUAACAAUACGUAACUGCAUCUGCUAUGUACUGGCUAGGAUGAUUUCUCCUGCCACAGGCGGGAGUGCUGGUUACAGCAUUACUGCUUCUUACCUCUUUGCUUUUCAUAUGUAUUCUGUAAUAAAAAUCUAGAUAGGGACCUCAUCGAUUGCAAAGAAUAAAUGGGUUUGUUUAUCUGUACUGGUGACAGUAGUGAAAGCUUUUAUCAGUAAGUUGAGCUGUCGAGGGUAGCACAAGCAGAUAGAUGGAAAAGUACUAUCUUGGUGAUACUGGCAAUCACAGUAUUAUGGUCUGUCCUUACUGCCACUGAAACUGCUGUAGAAAAAGUGGUAUUUAAUCACAGUUGUUAUGAAAAAAGGUUUUAACGUCCUGUUGGCUAAUAUUGGAUAAUUUGAAAAAUGUGCUUUAGACAUUUUAAUGGAGGUCUGCUGGAUGGUGUGUUACAGCUAGCAUUGUUCUCCCAAGGAGGAGUCCUUUGCCUGUGCUCAUUAGAUGAAACAUUCUGGCAACAACAAAGCAUUACACACGCUCUUUGCAUUUCUGGCUUUGUGAAAAGUACAGACAAAAUGGAAAAUGACAGUUUUGGCUAUAGGUUCUCUUGUUUCAGGGCUGUGAGUGGAGGUAAUAAUGUGUGGUGGGAGAGCCUGCUGUAAGCUAGGCGGUCAGUAAUUGAAAUCCAGAAUUAUAUUGCCCCCUGGUUGUUUAAUAGAAGCAGAAUUGAUUCUGUUAAAAUUGAUCUCAGUAAAGUGCAGAAGAAAUUGGAGUGCUCUUUAUUAUAGAAACAAAUUGACAAUGUGUUGUAGAAGUCUUCGUAUGAUAUCCUUGUGAAAUCCAGCAUAAUUGAUGCUCACGUGGGCUGCAGAAAAAUUCUACUUACAGCUCUUCUAUCUGUUUAAUUGCAUGAAUAUUAUAGAGAUGCACCAACAGCUGUCAAGCUAUGGUUGUGCUCAGGUUGUACUUUGUGAAGACUAAAAUCCUUCUUUCUGCACUUUGUUGAACAGUUUGAGUUUUCAGGUUUAAUGUCCCAACCUGUCUAUUUUUUUUUU